rnacentral:rRNA from 1 species
UACGUAGGCAGCAAGCGUUGUUCGGAAUUACUGGGCGUAAAGCGCGUGUAGGCGGUUCGAUAAGUUUGGUGUGAAAUCUCCCGGCUCAACUGGGAGGGUGCGCCGAAGACUGUCGAGCUAGAGUGUGGGAGAGGUAGGCGGAAUUCCUGGUGUAGCGGUGAAAUGCGUAGAUAUCAGGAGGAACACCUGCGGUGUAGACGGCUUACUGGACCACGACUGACGCUGCAACUCGAAAGUGUGGGGAGCAAACAGG